rnacentral:lncRNA from 1 species
GUUUCAGCAGUUGAAAACACACUUUAACAUGCCACCAGAAAUUACUGCUAGUAGUAUGAUACAUCAUUGAUCUACAGGGCAAUCAAACAAUAAAUAUUUGCCAAGAUAAAAGUGACAAAAUGUUAUGUCCUUCAUUUUAGCAAAAAGAAUCAAGAAAGAGGAAAAAAGUGCAAAAGGCUUUUGGUGAAAUAGUCAGAUGCAAGAUUCACUCAUAGAAUGUGUUCUGCACAAUUAAAAAACACAAUCAAAGUUGUAGAGGAUGAGACAUAUUGCUGAAAGCACCAAGCAUUUUCUUCUGCAUGAAGCAUAUUUCACCAAAUACUUAAUCAACGCAGGUAUUUUACACUUACAUCUAGUCAAAUGUUAUUUUCAAAUAACACAUUAUGUCAAGUAUAUACAUAGUCAAGUAUGUUUAGGCUGUCCUGUGUUCCAGCUCCAAAUAAUAAAUGUCCUUUUCACAGUGGAAAAUUGUUCAUUGUAUUUGGAAGGAACAUUUCAAAUCAUCUUGACAAAGCUCCAUGAAACAGCAAUAGAACUCUACCACCUGAGAAGACACUAGAAUCUCGGACUUUGGAAAUUCUCUUGAGUCUUCAAUCACCUAUCCAUUCCAUAGAACGCACUCAACCUGGAGAUGUUCUACUUUGUAAGAGAAUUUCUGGGAGAAUCCACAGGAAAUUCUGUAAUGUACAGAGAUUCUGAUUUCAUUGGUUCAUUUCAGUGUAUUCCUCAAAUACGUUAAGAAGCCGUAUUUCCUGGCAAAAGAAUUUUUGGAGGCUGAUAUAUAUCAAAGACAGUUCUGCUAGGAAGCUAGUGAAAAGUCAUUUCACACAAAGCAGCUAACAACAUAAAUGGUGUGUUGUAUAAGGAAUAACUCAUGGAUCUACAAGUCCUUCUUUUUUCUUUAAAAAGCUUGUAUUAGGCACCUACCAGGCAAUGAGGGACCACAAAAAAACUCACAACAACAACGUGGCAGGGGAAGCAUUGUAUUAUCAACACUUAAUAUAAUUUGUUAUUUGAAGUAAGCACUUUUUUAGCAUGGAUGUAGAAAGAAGAGUACAGGUGGGUAUCCAGUCAAAACAGCAUCUUUAUGUGUGGAAACACCAAAUCUUUAUCAUGAGUCCUUUAAAGUCUUCCAAAUGUUUGACAGGAGAAAUGGAAAAUCUGUGUCCCAAAGUCCUCUUUCACAUUGGCUUUGUGAUGUACAGUAUGAGACAGUGAGAGGAUUUUCAGGGAAACUUACUAUCCCAUGCAAUUGCAUAGGAAAACAUGAUGAGUUCUUUAAGUUCUUAUAACGGCUGUCUGUUGUACCUAUAUAUCACAACAGUUUCAGAAUUAAAAUGCUAAAAGUAAGGAUUUGUGUACUCAAGGAAGAGGACUGGGAACUUUUAUUUAUAACAGCAGUAAUAAAUAGGCAAAGAUGAUACA